GGGCCCACCGGGCCACGCUCGCCCGGCCCGCGACGCCCCCCCGCUGUCGCCUGGCCCGCGACGCACCGAGGCCUGAGGACCCGAAAGCCGGGCGCGGGGAGAUGACCGGUGGCUCGUGACGGUCCCACGGGCAAAAUCUUCCAUCGCCCGGGGCUGAGACUUGUCAAACUGCCCUCUACGGUCACCCGGAAAGUAGGAGGCUUUUUCUGCAGAGGGGAAAAAAAUCAAAAAGAGCCGUUCCAUCCCCCCUCCAAGGACUGGGUUUGAAUUGCUUUUCAUCUGCAGUGGCUGUGAUUCAGCGUCCCUCUUAGCAGCAGGCAAUGACAGAGGCAGGAGAGGGGAAAAAAAAAAAGAAAGAAAGAAAAAACACAGCAAAUGAAUCAAACGGACCAGGUAGCAGGCAAGAGUGUGGUUAUCGUUGGACCAGGAUUCAGGAUCUGACUGAGUAGCUGACUCUUAAUCCAGUUUGUGUUGAUCACCAGGAGGAUCUGGACCUCAGUAUUACCACAUCUAGAGGUGAUAUGCCAACUCCACCUUUGCCUUCCACCAUGUUUGGAAGCUCCCUGAGGCCUCACCAGGAGCAGAUGCUCGUCCCAUGCUUCCUAUAAGCCUGCAGAACUGUGAGCCAUAAUAAACUGUGAAUUAUAAAUUGCCUUUAUAGCAAUGCAAAUGGACCAGUACAGAUGGGAUGCUGGGAAGACAGUUGUUUCCACCUUCAGUAAAGUCCGUGGAACACAGUUGUGACUAUAUUCUAGGCCAGCCAAGAUGCUUGUACUCAGAAAGGAGUGGUCUCAGGACCAUAAGAAAGUGAAAAAAUAAAAAUAAGAAAAUAAAGAAGGGAUUGUCAAUGAAUCAGAAUUCAUCAAGGUCAAAGUCUUAGGAAAUUCCUUCAUGAGGAAGUCUAGGGGGGCUAUGGAAAUGAAAUUUUUAAACAAAUAGGUAUGUGGUGCUGGCAGGAAUAAAUUAUGGACUUAUGAAUAUAACAUAAGAUUCUUUAUUACCUGGUCUCACCCGUCUUUCCACCUCUGCCCCCCUUCUUGCCCGACUCUGUGUAUCACCCAUAAUAAACUACUUACAGCUUCCUAGUGUUAAAUUUACCCUAAAGCUGCCUCCUUCAAUAUUUUAAGUUUAACCUAAAGGUUCUUCAUACAUAGUGAACUAUAACCCAAUGAUUAAACAGAUUGUAACCUACUCUUGUACCAGUCACCAAGUUUCAGCCAAUCAGAGGUGGCCAACUGUUCAAACCAUGCUCAAAUAAGGGAAAUGUCAUGGUGUAACUAAUCCAGCUGUUUCUAUACCUUACUUCUGUUUUCUUAGGUCACUUUCCUUUUUUGUCCAUAAAUUCUCUCCAACCACUCAGCAGCACUGGAGUCACUCCAAAGCUAUCCUGGUUCAGGGGUCUGUCUGAUUCACAAGUCAUUCUUUGUUCAAUUGAGCUCUGCUAAAUUUAAUUUGUCUGAAGUUUUUCUUUUAACAGAUGGUGUCAGAAAUGGACCCCAAAGUAGAGCUCCCAGUGAUCCCCCAGGAGCACUGAGUGACCACAAGGGGUACCUGCUGGGCCCGUCCUCUCGCAGUGUCCACUGCUCUCUUACAGCAACUGGAGAUUGUGGCUGCAUUCUCUCUCAGAUUCUGAAGCUCCAUACAUUGCCGUUUUCAGCUGUUCAAGCUUGCUUGAGCAAAUUUUUGAUCUUAGCUGAGUUUGGAAGUCGAUAGACAUUGGACUGGGUCCAGGAUUUGAUUGGAUCUGAUAAUUAACUGGCUUGGAUCCAGUUAGAUGCCUCGGUUAUCUGACUGGGUCAGAUAGAAACCGCCAGUAAAUAUUUUAAUAACAAUACUGCAGGGGUAUGAACUCUGGCUUUAAGAAACUCACAAGGAAUUUUAUGUUCUAUACCCUUUGUUUCUUUUUCUUGUGUGCUUCGGUCAGGAAAAAUCAUUAGUCAAGUUAAUCAAGGGGAUCUGAGAGCCAAAUACAAGAUUCAACGUAAAAAUGGAAUCCUUGGGCUAGGCGUGGUGGCUCAGGCCUGUAAUCCCAGGACUUUGGGAGGCUGAGGCAGGCGGAUCACCUGACCUUAGGAGUUCGAGACCAGUCUGGCCAACAUGGUGAAACCCCGUCUCCACUAAAAAUACAAAAAUUAGCCAGGCGUGGUGGUGGGCACCUGUAAUCCCAGCUACUUUGGAGGCUGAGGCAGGAUAAUCACUUGAACCCAGGAGGCAGAGGUUGCAGUGAUCUGAGAUUGCACCACUGCACUCCAGCCUGGGCAAAAGAGCGAGACUCCAUCUCAUAAAUAAAUACAUAAAUAAAUAAAGAAAUCCUUAAUUUCUGCGGAACUGAGUGCUCUACCUUCUGGCUACACCUACGUAUACCUGUAUGAGGUAUAGGCCCUGGAAGCAGCAAACACUUACAGAAAUGGUGAAAUCUUACUAAAGGUAAUCUAAAGUUAUGGUGGAACAUCCCAAAUGAACAACACUGCACUUUAGGAAGUACAUAUAAAAAUGAAGUCUCCCAAUUUAGUAUUAUUCAGGGAUGGCUGUUGAAGUUCAGAAGCUUCUAAAAAGAUUCCAAUAAUUUUACAGAUUCUUUUAAAAGAUUCUUUGUAAAAGGCAAAUAAAAAGCUUAAGUGACUAAUCAGAAAAAUUAGGUCUUCUAACCUUUUGUCAUUGUUACUGUCUUGCCCUGAAAGGGAAAAGAAAGCUGGAUAAAGUAUUUAUAGAAGAUAGAGGACCUGUGGUGGCUCAUGCCUGUAAUCCAAGGUGGAAGGAUUGCUUGAGGCCAGAAGUUCAAGACCAGUCCAAGCAACAUAGCAAGGCCCCAUCUCUACAAAAAAUGAAAAUAAAAUUAGCCGAGCGUGAUGGCUCAUGCCUGUAGUUCUAGCUUCUAGAGAGGCUGAGGCAGGAGGAUUGCUUGAGUCCAGGAGUUCAAGAUUACAGUGAGCUAUGGUCACACCACUGCACUCCAGCCUGGGUGAUGGAGUGAGACUGUCUCAAUAAAAAGACAAAAAGAGACAAAGUUUUCCUGUGUUACCCAGGCUGGAGUGCAGUAGUGUGAUCAUAUCUUACUGCAAUCUUGAGCCUCAUGGGCUCAAGCAACCCUCCCACCUCAGUUUCCCAUGUAGCUGGAACCACAGAAAUUAUUUUCAUCAAUAAAUACUUAUAGGCCAGGUGUGGUGGCUCAUGCCUGUAAUCCCAGGAUUUUGGGAAGCCAAGGCAGGUGAAUUGCUUGAGCCCAGGAUUUCAAGACCAGCCUGGGCAACAUGGUAAAAUCCUCUCUCUACAAAACAUACAGAAAAUUAGCUGGGAGUGGUGCGCAUGCCUGUCCCAGCUACUCAGGAGGCUGAGGUUGGGGGAUUGCUGGAGCCCAGGAGGUCAAGGCUGCAGUGAGCUGUGACUGCGCCACUGCAUUCUAGCCCAGGCAACAGAAUGAGACCCUGUCUCAAAAAACAAACCCAAAAACCUUACGUGAAACAGUUCAAAAUUACUUACUUCCUAAGUUUUCACAAGAAAUCAGGGUUAACAAUUCUGCAUAUGGGGUUUAUAAAGAAAAGCAAGAUACUUUUUUGGUAAGGAAAGUGGUAAAGGCAUAAAAAGGUGUGUGGCCAGGCCGCGGUGGUUCACGCUUGUAAUCCCAGCACUUUGGGAGGCUGAGGCAGGUGAAUCACCUGAGGUCAGGAGUUCAAGACAAGCCUGGCCAGCGUGGUGAAACCCCAUCUCUACUAAAAAUACAAAAAUUAGCAGGGUGUGGUGGUGCAGGUCUGUAAACCCAGCUACUCAGGAAACUGAGGCAGAAGAAUCUGUUGAACCUGGGAGGCAGAGGUUGCAGUGAGCCGAGAUCGCGCCACUGCACUCCAGCCUGGGGAACAGAGCAAGAUUCCGUCUCAAAAAAAAAAGUGUGUUGAAAAAACUUUGUGAAGUUACUUAAAGGUUGUUUUAAAUGAAAGAAAUAAAAAAGGCAUAGAUAAAACUAAGUAUAAACAGUUCAGAAAAUAGAAGAAAAAGUUUUGUCAGAUUAUAAAAGGUUUAUGGAAAUCUUGUGUGGUCAAAAGCUGACUGAGAUUAAAUGGAUUUGUUUAUAAGGUUUUAUUAAAAUUGACUAUAGUGUUUGUAAUACGUUAAUACAAAAGUAAAACUGGUUAUCUUUUGCAUAAGAUUUUAAUGUAGAAUUAAUAAGAGUUAGUAAAAGAUUUUUAUUCGACUUUUACAUAAACUGUAAAAAGAGAGAGAGAGAGAAGAGAGGAGAGACCAAUUCUGUCAAAAUUCUGCCUCUUGCUGUCUCUAGUGGGUCUUUUGGUUAUUUAAAUUGAGUCUCCUCUCUAUCAAAGGAUAAAGGUUUUUGCUUUUUAAAACCUUUUAAUUAUCACUUUGGCUAAAUGAAUGACUAUUAUUUUAAAGUGACCUCUGUUCCUAUUUUGGUUAAGUGUUUUAAACCUUUGAUGUAUUUGACAGGCUUUUCAAAAUUAAAUUUCAAGUUCAAAAUUAAGUCUUUUUGACCUCAAACCAACUUUGGGAUGUUACAGAGGGCCCUUGCAGCAUCCAAAAGAGAGAUAAUAAACAAGAUUAUUUGAUAUAUUAAAUUAUAUGGGAAACAUUGUCAAAUAAGAAAUGAUGUUUAACUUCCUUCGAGUUAUAUUUUUAUGGAUACAUUAUUUUGUAUUCCAAAGUUGUAUGAGAUUCCUAAAAAUCUGGUAUGUCUUGCUGUAUGUUAUUAGUCAUAAUUACAAUUAUGUUAAAUUGUUAUAGGCUGGCCAGGGGCAGUGGUUCAUGCCUGUAAACCCAGCACUUUGGGAGGCAAAGGCAGGAGGAUUGCUUAAGCCCAGGAAUUUGAGAUCAGCCUGGACAACAUGGUCAAGGAAGCUUUUCCUGAUCCACUAACUAAGGACAAUCAAACCCUUCAUGAUCUAGAAUCUGGAGACUGUGUCUUCUGGGAAUAGUAUCAGAGAAAGACUGCCCUUACUGCCCACAUGUAGCAAAACUUUGAGACGUUGAAUUAUGGGUCCAUAAUCUCACAACUCAGAGGGGCACCUCUAGACUCUUGGAACUGUAUAUCUAUUGGAGACUUUAAGGUAAAGCUGAACAGAGAGACGUUUUUCUCCAGAAGCAGACAGCACCAUAGUCAUGGACAGCUUUCCCAAGAUCACAGAUCAAGACUUCUCUGCCGUCAUGAGACUCAUAACCUCUUAAUUUUUUCUUGCUUAUGCUUCUGUGAACAAUAGAAUUGGAAAAGGGGUGGUCCCGCGUGCACCCAUAGGGUAUACUUUUAUUUGUGGAGGAUUUUGCUGCCAACCUUAUACAUGGGCAAACUUAUGCCUUCAUGGAUGGAAGAUAAAGGGCUAAUAUGGGUUAGAAAUUUUAAUGGUACCUUUGUUUCUCCAUAAUCAUUCAGAAACAGAACACUGGUCCACUCUUGUUAACCUACAUCAUAGGUUGAAGAGAACAUUGCCAGGAGGCCUUCAUCCUUCCAGAUGGGCACCAUUUGUUGGGUCUUUUUCCGUGGUAUGAAGAAAAUGAAGCAAUGAUUAGAAAUUGGUCCCUCGGCCGGGCACAAUGGCUCAUGCCUGUAAUCCCAUCACUUUGGCAGGCCGAGGCGGGUGGAUCACCUGAGGUCAGGAGUUUGAGACCAGCCUGACCAAUGUGGUGAAACGCCAUCUCUACUAAAAAUACAAAAAUUAGCUGGGUGUGAUGGUGCACACCUGUAAUCCAGCUACUCGGGAGGCUGAGACAGGAGAAUUGCUUGAACCUGGGAGGCAGAGGUUGCAGUGAGCCAAGAUCACCCCACUGCAUUCCAGGUUGGGCAACAGAGCAAGACUCUGUCUCAAAAAAAAAAGAAGAAAGAAAGAAAUUGAUCCCUCAUAAUAGGCUGUAUAGCAGAUUCUACUGCAAAGGCUAUGGUUGCACAACAGACUUCUUUGAAUUUGCUUGCUAAACUUUUACUGGAUAAUACUGGGAUUACAGGUGUGAGCCACUGUGCCCAGCCUCUCCUGUUUAACUGUAUUCAUUCUAAUGUUUACUUACUUCUUUAAUUUGUAAAAUUGGGUCACUUAGAGUUUUUUUAGCCUAUCUUGCCAUUUAGCCACUGUUACUGAUAAUUUGGAUGGAAAAGAAAAAUAAAUUAUAUCACCUCUCAUCUUCAGUGUAUAUAUGUGUUAACUUAGUAAAUAUAGUAUUCUUUCUCGUUCCUAAUGAAAAUUUAGUUUACGUACUGAAACACUGCAAACUUUUAUAAAUAUUGUGAUGUAUUUGACCAAUACAAAGGAUCUUUUUAGAAACAGCAAACAGUUCUCAGAUUAUAGGAAUUACUCAUUUAAUGAUAGUUUCUUCUU
rnacentral:lncRNA from 10 species